rnacentral:rRNA from 1 species
AAUGUGCCGAGAGGUGAAAGCUUUAGUGCCUGUAGAUGAGCUCGCGUCCGAUUAGCUAGUUGGUAGGGUAAAGGCUUACCAAGGCGACGAUCGGUAGCUGGUCUGAGAGGAUGAUCAGCCACACUGGGACUGAGACACGGCCCAGACUCCUACGGGAGGCAGCAGUGGGGAAUUUUCCGCAAUGGGCGAAAGCCUGACGGAGCAAUACCGCGUGCGGGACGAAGUGCUUUUGGGUCGUAAACCGAUUUUGUUAGGGAAGAACACAAUGACGGUCCCUAACGAAUCAGCAUCGGCUAACUCCGUUGCCAGCAGCCGCGGUAAUACGGGGGAUGCACGCGUUAUCCGGAAUUAUUGGGCGUAAAGCGUCCGCAGGUGGUUUAUCAAGUCUGCUGUCAAAUC